GAGGGUACAGCUCCAGAGGUAGAGCAUAUGCUUAGCAUGCACAAGGUCCUGGGUUCAAUCCCCAGUACCUCCU
rnacentral:tRNA from 1 species